GAACUACAAUAGUGCCGGAACAGUCUGAUGACAGAGGGACCUGGCAGCAGAGAGGCAACCACCGAAUUGAGCCUCUGAACUGCGCCCACUGAGAGGGCAGAGAUGGGGUCUGUCUCCCCCCUCCAGUCCCUCUCAGUUGACCAAGCAUGGGAAUGAGCACCCAAGAAGUGCCCUGAAUAUCUCCUGGACAUGGGCAGGUGCAGGCCCUUACCGUCCUCAGGGCGCAGCUGCAGGGGCGUGGAGCUGGGCUGAGUCAUGGUGAAGAGCG